GAUGAACGCUAGCGAUAGGCUUAACACAUGCCAGUCGAGGAGCAGCAUGGUCUUAGCUUGCUAAGACUGAUGGCGACCGGCGCACGGGUGCGUAACGCGUAUGCAACUUGCCUCACAGAGGGGGAUAACCCGUCGAAAGACGGACUAAUACCGCGUACACUCCAUCUUGGGCAUCCAAGGUAGAGGAAAUGAAAUUCGCUGUGAGAUAGGCAUGCGUCCCAUUAGCUAGUUGGUGAGGUAACGGCUCACCAAGGCGACGAUGGGUAGGGGAACUGAGAGGUUGAACCCCCACACUGGUACUGAGACACGGACCAGACUCCUACGGGAGGCAGCAGUGAGGAAUAUUGGUCAAUGGGCGAGAGCCUGAACCAGCCAAGUCGCGUGAAGGAUGACUGUCUUAUGGAUUGUAAACUUCUUUUAUACGGGAAUAACAAGAGUCACGUGUGACUCCCUGCAUGUACCGUAUGAAUAAGCAUCGGCUAACUCCGUG
rnacentral:rRNA from 1 species